UACGUAGGGGGCUAGCGUUAUCCGGAAUUACUGGGCGUAAAGGGUGCGUAGGUGGUUUCUUAAGUCAGAGGUGAAAGGCUACGGCUCAACCGUAGUAAGCCUUUGAAACUGGGAAACUUGAGUGCAGGAGAGGAGAGUGGAAUUCCUAGUGUAGCGGUGAAAUGCGUAGAUAUUAGGAGGAACACCAGUUGCGAAGGCGGCUCUCUGGACUGUAACUGACACUGAGGCACGAAAGCGUGGGGAGCAAACAGGAUUAGAUACUCGCGUAGUCCCUGAG
rnacentral:rRNA from 1 species